AGUGAACGCUGGCGGUAGGCCUAACACAUGCAAGUCGAACGGAAGCACAGUAAGAGCUUGCUCUUACGGGUGGCGAGUGGCGGACGGGUGAGGAAUACAUCGGAAUCUACUUUUUCGUGGGGGAUAACGUAGGGAAACUUACGCUAAUACCGCAUACGACCUACGGGUGAAAGCAUGGGAUCUUCGGACCUUGCGCGAUUGAAUGCGCCGAUGUCGGAUUAGCUAGUUGGCGGGGUAAAGGCCCACCAAGUCGACGAUCCGUAGCUGGUCUGAGAGGAUGAUCAGCCACACUGGAACUGAGACACGGUCCAGAGGCCUACGGGAGGCAGCAGUGUGGAAUAUUGGACAAUGGGCGCAAGCCUGAUCCAGCCAGACCGCGUGGGUGAAGAAGGCCUUCGGGUUGUAAAGCCCUUUUGUUGGGAAAGAAAAGCAGCAGGUUAAUACCCCGCUGUUCUGACGGUACCCAAAGAAUAAGCACCGGCUAACUUCGUG
rnacentral:rRNA from 1 species